rnacentral:rRNA from 1 species
AACUUUCAACAACGGAUCUCUUGGUUCCAGCAUCGAUGAAGAACGCAGCGAAAUGCGAUAAGUAAUGUGAAUUGCAGAAUUCCGUGAAUCAUCGAAUCUUUGAACGCACAUUGCGCCCUCUGGUAUUCCGGGGGGCAUGCCUGUCCGAGCGUCAUUUACACAAAUCAAGCGCG